rnacentral:tRNA from 1 species
GUGGAUGUAGUUCAGCUGGUUAGAGCGUCAGAUUGUGGUUCUGAAUGUCGUGGGUUCGAAUCCCACCACCCACC